rnacentral:lncRNA from 1 species
UUCCGGGAGUCAGGUGACCUGGCCCCGGAGCUGCUCCCUGGACCUGCGGGAGGUGCUCUGCGACCGCCCACGCCCCGGCCCGCGGCGCGUCCCGGACGUCCACGCUUGCGUUUCUGCGGAUCGUGGGAAUCCUUCUGCGUGGGAGUUUUAGAAAUGCUAACCGAGCUCAGGUUUUGAACAUGUCUGGGACUGUGAAUUGGCUGCCAGAAUGAAAUUUGAGGAGGGGAAAAUAUGAUGGUGUGAAGAUCCUCUUAGCCAUCACAAAGAUAUGGCAGGCGUGUGAAGGACAAUUGUGUGCAUUCAUUAGCUGCUUCCGCCAAGCAAGAAUUGUCAUCAAAAGGAAGAAAUUACCAGCGCUGCUACAUUUAAACUCAGCCUGGGCCAGCAGCCAUGAGCAGUGGCCACAGUGAACCUUGGAGGCCACUAGGCAGUGGCUACAGGCUUGGCAGAUCGGUGAAGAGUCACUCUGCAAAGGAUGAAGGUCUGAUUCCCAUUCCUGGGACAUUGUUCUUGAGACCCAGCGCUGACUGAGCUCUACACUAGGGGAAUUGUUGGACACAGAAUUGAACCAUUAUACGCCGUUACCAUCUAGAAAGGCUCUCUUUCUCUUAUAAAGCAAAUCUCCUCCAGACACUUUGACACCACACCACUCAAGUGGGGCAGAUGGUACAUCCGUUCCUCUUGUCUUCCUACUGUGUGGGGAUCUAGGCUCAGGCUCCUUUGGUGAGUAAAAGUCAUUUACAGAACUAAAUUUUGCCACUUUCUUUUGCCAGCGCUUAUGAAUAAGAAAAGUUGUCACCAUCUAUUGGAUCUAGCCAUUGGUAAAAGGGUAUAUUAGAGACUUUAUAUAUCUUUUUGUCGUUUGAUCUUUAUAGCAACUCUGUCAAGUAUUAGCCCCCUCUAGUUUGAAGAUAAGAAAACUGAGACUCCAAGGUUUUACUUGCACUGUGAGUAGGUGGCAGGAGACUUACUAUGUGUCUACAUCACUUGGAGGUUUCAGAAAGUAACUGAUUUAAUCAUCACAACUGGACUGGGUGGCCCCAAAGGCCUUUAUACCUCAUAGCCAUUUCAACAAAUAGUCCUUGAAUCGUAUAUUCCCUUCCAAACCAAUUGUCUAGUCACAAAAUAUAUGGAAGCCAAAACUAA